GGAUAAGGAAAGUAAAAAAGGGCGCAUGGCGGAUGCCUUGGCUCUCGGAGGCGAUGAAGGACGUGAUAAGCUGCGAUAAGCUUUGGGGAGGUGCAAAUGACCUUUGAUCCAGAGAUUUCCGAAUGGGACAACCCAAUAUCUUGAAGAGGUAUUAUCCAACGUUGUUGGAGGCUAACGCAGGGAACUGAAACAUCUUAGUACCUGCAGGAAAAGAAAAUAAACAAUGAUUCCCCCAGUAGUGGCGAGCGAACGGGGAACAGCCCAAACCAUCCAUGUUACGGCAUGGGUGGGGUUGUAGGACUACGCCGUUGCAUGAAGACAUCAGAGAAGAACUUUCUGGAAAGAAAGACCAUAGAGCAUGACAGUUGCGUAUUCGAAUGUUGUCGAAGCAUAGUAGUAUCCUGAGUAGCGCGGAGCACGAGGAAUUCUGCGUGAAUCUGCCGGGACCAUCCGGUAAGGCUAAAUACUCCCGAGAGACCGAUAGCGAACCAGUACCGUGAGGGAAAGGUGAAAAGCACUUCGAACAGAAGAGUGAAAUAGUUCCUGAAACCGUGCGCCUACAAGCGGUCGGAGCUCGUUAAUGAGUGACGGCGUGCCUUUUGCAUAAUGAACCUACGAGUUGCCUUUGCCGGCAAGGUUAAGUGUGACGACACACGUAUCCGAAGCGAAAGCGAGUCUGAACAGGGCGUAUAGUCGGCAGUGGCAGACGCGAAACCAAGUGAUCUACCCUUGGCCAGGUUGAAGGCUGGGUAACACCAGCUGGAGGACCGCACCAAUAAGCGUUGAAAAGCUUCUGGAUGAGCUGAGGGUAGGGGUGAAAGGCUAAUCAAACUUGGAGAUAGCUCGUACUCCCCGAAAUGCAUUUAGGUGCAGCCUUGCGGGUUACUGAUGUGAGGUAGAGCGACUGAUAAGAUGCGAGGGCUUCACCGCCUAUCAAGUCUUGACAAACUCCGAAUGCGCAUCAGUUCUACCGCAGGAGUGAGGGCAUGGGUGCUAAGGUCCGUGCCCGAGAGGAGAAGAAUCCGGACCACCUGCUAAGGUCCCGAAAUGACAGCUAAGUUAAACUAACGAAGUCUGACUGCUAAGACAGCUAGGAUGUUGGCUUGGAAGCAGCCAUUCAUUUAAAGAGUGCGUAACAGCUCACUAGUCGAGGAGUCGGGCGUGGAUAAUAAUCGGGUAUCAAGUUGUCUACCGAAGCAGUGGGAUCAUUAAUAUGAUCGGUAGGGGAGCAUUCCAGUCGGCGUCGAAGGCGUACCGUGAGGUAUUCUGGAGCGUCUGGAAAAGCAAAUGUAGGUAUAAGUAACGAUAAAGGGGGCGGGAAACCCCCUCGCCGAAAGACUAAGGUUUCCUGAUCAACGCUAAUCGGAUCAGGGUCAGUCGGGUCCUAAGGCUCAGCCGAAUGGCGAUGCCGAUGGCAGAAACGGUUAAUAUUCCGUUACUACCUUCAGGAGUGACGUGGAGACGCAGUAGUGACAGUGCCGCCAUCUGACGGAAUAGAUGGUUGAAGGGUGUAGGAGUCGAUCAUGGCAGGCAAAUCCACCAUGAGAUCCGAACCUGAUAGUAUGCCGCGUCCUUCGGGACAAGGCAAUAGUGCGCGUAAGCAUGCUGCCGAGAAAAUCCGCUAAACUUAAUCCUGGAGGUACCCGUACCGCAAACGGACACACGUAGUCGGGAUGAAUAUUCUAAGGCGCUUGAGUGAUUCACGGUUAAGGAACUAGGCAAACUGACCCUGUAACUUCGGGAUAAAGGGUCCCUACCCUUUUAUGGGAGGGCGCAGAGAAUCGGUCCAGGCAACUGUUUAACAAAAACACAGGGCUGUGCCAAAUCGAAAGAUCCAGUAUACAGCCUGACACCUGCCCGGUGCUGGAAGGUUAAGAGGAGAUGUCAUCGAUAAGAGAAGCGUUGAAUUGAAGCCCCAGUAAACGGCGGCCGUAACUAUAACGGUCCUAAGGUAGCGAAAUUCCUUGUCGGGUAAGUUCCGACCUGCACGAAUGGUGUAAUGAUCUGGACGCUGUCUCAACCGUGAGCUCAGUGAAAUUGUAGUAUCGGUGAAGAUGCCGAUUACCCGCGAUGGGACGAAAAGACCCCGUGAACCUUUACUAUAGCUUAUCAUUGAAUCUGGGCACGUGAUGUGUAGGAUAGGUCGGAGGCUUUGAAGCAGGUACGCCAGUAUUUGUGGAGCCGCUGUUGAAAUACGACCCUUUAUUUGUUUGGAUUCUAACCCGUGGAUACGGGGACAUUGAUUGGUGGGUAGUUUGACUGGGGUGGUCGCCUCCAAAAGCGUAACGGAGGCUUCUAAAGGUGCCCUCCGGCCGAUUGGUAACCGGCCUUAGAGUGUAAUGGCAUAAGGGCGCUUGACUGGGAGACUGACAAGUCGAUCAGGUAGGAAACUAGAGCAUAGUGAUCCGGUGUUUCCGUAUGGAAGGGACAUCGCUCAAAGGAUAAAAGGUACUCCGGGGAUAACAGGCUGAUCCCUCCCAAGAGCUCAUAUCGACGGAGUGGUUUGGCACCUCGAUGUCGGCUCGUCACAUCCUGGGGCUGGAGAAGGUCCCAAGGGUUGGGCUGUUCGCCCAUUAAAGUGGCACGCGAGCUGGGUUCAGAACGUCGUGAGACAGUUCGGUCUCUAUCUAUCGUGGGCGUAUGAAAUUUGCGUGGCUCUGACACUAGUACGAGAGGACCGUGUUGGACAGACCUCUGGUUUGCCGGUUGUGCCGCCAGGUGCAUUGCCGGGUAUCUAAGUCUGGAUCGGAUAAGUGCUGAAAGCAUCUAAGUACGAAGCCGGCCACAAGAUUAGAUUUCUCAGGGUCGUUGUAGACUACGACGUUGAUAGGAUGCAGGUGUAAAGAUGGAGACAUCAAAGCCGAGCAUUACUAAUUGCCCGUUCACUUUCCUUA
rnacentral:rRNA from 1 species